rnacentral:lncRNA from 1 species
GCCCGGCUAAUUUUUUGUAUUUUUAGUAGAGACGGGGGUUCACUGUGUUAGCCAAGAUGGUCUCGAUCUCCUGACCUCGUGAUCCGCCCGCCUCGGCCUCCCAAAGUGCUGGGAUUACAGGCGUGAGCCACUGUGCCCAGCCUGUUUUAUUUUUUAAUAUAGCUCUGUAUGUGAAAUUCUGGGUUUGAUAGAGUAGUGAUACAUUUUUCUGAAACACAUAAAAUACACAACCAUCAAACAGUUUUCAUGCUUUACGUGAUUCUUCUACUACCUAAAUCACUUCCUAUUUUUCCCACUGACAGCUGUUGCUUUCCUCUCUCCCUAAAUUAAUUUUGGAGUAGGAUACACUUUCCUUUACUCUGCUCACCCGAAACCCAUUUAGGUUUUUAAACACUGUGUUUUUAUUUUUUAAAGUCUAUAAACCACAGAGAAUUAAAUGAGGAUUUAUAAAAAUGUAACAAGUAAUAAGAAACCUAGCUCAGAAGCUCUCAAAUUUUAAUGCUGUGUACACAAAACUAUGUAUGUAAUACUUUAUGAGUGACAAAGGAUUUAUUUUCAAGGAUGAAACUGAAUAUUUGAAUUUUGUCUCAUACACUAACAUUAGACCUGAAUUUUCAUAACAUCAAUGGUGUUGUGGGACUUAGGCUAUCAUUAAUAUUUCACUAGAUCCCACCACAAACAAACAUUCCCCUUCUGUUUCAGAGCUCCUGCUGAUAGCUGGAUGUUCUAGAAAAUUCCUGUUCCCAGUCUGAAUGGUGCCUCUGGUAGUUCUUGACUAAUUUGCAGAGCAGAGAUGAUUGGCAUUCCUGAGCCCCAAUGAAUGGGGCCUUUUUUAGGUCCUAGUUACCAAUACUUCCCAUCUCCCAAAAUUCUCUGAUUGCUCAUUUGUUUAUUCAUUUAUUCAUCUAUUUGUUCACCAAAUAUUUAUUUAGCACAUACCAAGUGCCAGGCAUUGUGUGGUCGUUUCAUUGUAUGGUGAUGAGCCAGGCAGAUAUGGUUUCUGGUUUUAACAAAGAGAUGUUUAACAAGAGUAUAACAGGUAGACCUGGUAUCUGUGGAGUCAGGGAAAGUUUCCAUGAGGAAGGGACAUUUAAACUGAGAUAAGAAGUAGCUGGAUGAAGUGGGGAGGAGGGCAUGUAGGUGUGAGGACCAUGGGUGCUGGAAUUUUGAAAAUGGUAAUCAACCACAGCAUGUGCAAAAGUCCUGCAGUGGGAAGGAACACGAUGGACUCUAGGUGAAUGAGAGAUUCAGAGAGUAACUGGAGAUGGUUCUGGAGACAUGGGCAGGGCCAAAUCACACAGGGUUUUGUAAGCCAUGUCAGAUAAGAAUUUUAAACUCUAUCUUAAGAUCAAUGGGAAGCCACUGAUAAGGCAGGAGAGUGGCAUAAGCAGGUUCAUAUUUUUAAAUGUCACUCUGUCUACACUGUGGAGAAUGGGUGGGAGGGGAAAGUAAAAGGAUGAAGGAAGACCAAUUAUAAGGACACAACAAAAGCACAAGUGAGAGAUGAUGUUGAGACCAGGAUAGUGGGGUCACGAUCAGGAUGGAGAGAAGCAGCCAGAUAUGAGAUCUUUAGGAAACAGAAUGAUCAGAAUUAUCAGGUGAUAGGUUAGAUGUGAGUGCAUGGAGAGGGUAAGGAGGCCAGGUAGAUUCCUGGGUUUCUCUUGAACAAUUAGGCAGACAAUGGGGUAAAGUUAGUACCGUUUGCUGAAUUAGGGUAGCCAGGAGCAGAAGCAGGUUUGUGAGAGAAAGAGAAGGUAGGGCUGCAUUAUUGCCAAGUAGAUAUCAAAGUGGAGGUGUCCAGUUUUACAAAAACGUCCUUUGUAGCUUAGGAAAGAGAUCAGGGCUGCAGACGUUAAGAUGGUUAUCUGCCAGUGCUAUCUAAAUAGGCAACAACAAUCAUUAUAAUAGUAUUCAAGGGGAAAAACUGGUAGCCUCUCACUGAGGCCCAAGAAAUCACAAGGCAUGAAUUCUCACAUUAAAAUGCUUGUUUCCAACUCACCAGGCUGUAUACAUUCAAUAUGUGUAGCUUUUGUAUGUCAAUCUUAGUUCAAUAAAGUAGUUUUUAACAAUAUGGUGCACAAGGUAAAAAGAAAUACUUGAUUUUCUUAUAUAAUAAUACACAACUUCAGAUAUCAAGGGCUUACAUAAACUAUGCCAAAAGAUUUAAUAAACAAUCAUCAUUAAGAUGACAUCCAAAAAGUUAUGGUCGUUUCAACCAGUCUAGUGGGAAACUCUGGGCUUUGACCUAGGAUUUUUGUUUCAGCUCCAAAGUGGUUGGGAAGAUUUUGUUUUCUUAAAAGCCAGCUUUCCUUGAACAAAGCUCCUGUUGCUUUCUGGAGUGCCUUAUAAAGAAUGCUGGGAACUGCUUAAAUAAAAAACUAAGGAAAUUCAAAGAAUACAGAAUUUUUGAAACAUCAAGCAGUGAAUAACUACUGUCCCUGGAAAAUUGGCAAAAUGGAAACAUGGCUUCAUGAACAAGAGGCCCAGGGACAGCUUCUCUGGGACAGUUCCAGCUCUGACUCAGAUGAGCAGGGGAAAGAUGAGAAGAAGCCACGAGCACUGGUGAGGACCAGGACAGAGAGAAUCCCACUUUUCGAUGAGUUUUUUGAUCAAGAAUAAGAAUACUAUUCAUUAACCUAGAAACUGAGUGCUUUGAAAGCUUGUUUUACUCUCAAAAUCUUCCAAACUGAUAUAUGAAUUACUUUGAGGACAGCAAAUCACUUUGGUAAAAAGAAAUGAUAUCUUUAGAGUCUUAUGAUUAACAAGUCCGUCACAUGUGCUGUUAACUAUUGCUGCAUAACUAAAUGCCUCAAAACACAGGGGCUAACCAAGAGCCAUUUUAUUGUCUCACUUUCCUGUGGGUUGCUGAGUUCAGCUAGGUGGUUCUUCUGCUGUUCCCUUUUGAAAUCUUUCAUGUCAUUGAAAUUGGACUACAUUUGGACUACUAAGACUGGAGUCAUCCAGAGGCCCCAUUAGGACACUGACACAGGGGGACCUUGCCCCCUAUCCAUGUAGCCUCAGAGCAUCUGCAUAUGAUCUCUUCAGCAGGACACUGCAGAGAUUUCUCUCAUAUGAGCCCAGGGCUCCCAAAAGCAAUUGUCUCAAGAGGAGGAAACAGAAGUUGCCAGUCUUCUUAAAAGCUAGUCAUAGAACUGACUUUGCAUCACUUCCACCAUGUUCUGUUGGUUAAAGUCAUAGACCAGCUUGGAGUUAAUGCAGAAGAGGACUACACAAGGGCAUGAGUGCCAAAGUGUGGUCCUUUGGGGUUCAUCUUUGACAUUUGCCACCUCACCAUGUUUUUAAAAAGAAAAUUAGAUUACAUAAAACAAAUAGAUGGGCUGGAUGUGGUGGCUCACACCUGUAAUCCCAGCACUUUGGGAGGCCGAGGUGGGCAGAUCACUUGAGGUCAGGAGUUCAAGACCAGCCUGGCCAACAUGGUGAGACACCGUCUCUACUAAAAUACAAAAAUUAGCCAGACAUGGUGGCAUUCGUCUGUAAUCCCAGCUACUUGAUGCGAAGGCUGAGGCAAAAGAAUUGCUUGAACCCAGGAGAUAGAGGUUGCAAUGAGCCAAGAUCACUCCACUGCACUCCAGCCUGGGCGACAGAAUGAGACUCUGUCUCAAAAUUAAAAAACAAAAAACCAAAAACAAAUAGAUGAAAAAGUAGACUGGAGACAAAUAAAAGUGAGUUUCUAAAGGAAAUUCACAGUAAUGCUGCAUUAAACACUAAGCUCACUUAGGUCACUUUCUAGUGAGCUAACCGUAACAGAGAGCCUACAGGAUACACGUGAGAUAAUGUCACGUGUAGAAGAUCGUUGUGAAUUAAAGUUCAAAAUUAAGACUUCUUAGAUUAUGAUGUAGAUUUUAGAGCUCCUUAAAACAUAAAGCGAAUCUUAUAAAUGUUCAAUUCUAAAGUUAUUCCACUUGGAAAAAUUAGCUUUUGGGACAAUUUUUAAGAACUUUUGUGUAAAAUGCAGCUCCAUGUUUAGCAUAAUCUAAAAAUAAUUUCAAGCAAUCCAGAAUCUUCCAAGAAUUUAUUAAAGCUUUAAAACAAAGCAAAACAAAAAGACCCUUUUGUGCCUUAUAUGGGAAGACUCCAAAAACAGAAAAAAAUAGAGGAAAACACCACUUCAAUUUGACAUUCAAUGCAUUCACAUCAGAAACUAAGAAGAUAACAAGCCUGAGAUGUCAGGUGAUAAAAAUUCAUGUUUCUUCCAAGGACAGAAGGCUAUUAGAUUGUCCCAGGCCAUAUCUAUUCCCAGUUCUUUGUGAGUAGUCUUCUUACUUUUUCUGUGGUAGGUAAGAAGCAUAUUUCCACCAAAAGAAAGCAUGCAUUGUUUGACUAGCCAGCUUUCUAGAAAAAAUGAGAUCCUUGAGAGGAUAAACAAAUCCAACCUAUUCAUGGUGUCCUCACUUAUUGUGGUCAAUUUGGAAGGCUUAAAACACAAAAAAUGGGAUGGAUAACUUUGAACACUAAAAUUAGUGGAGCCAAAGGCACGUCUUCACCAUUCUGUUAUGUGACUUAAAAUUCAAUUUCACGAAACCCACUUCCACAAGCUUAAUGAACUGUGAGCUACAUGAGGGCAUAAACCAUGUCUUCUUUGUAUGGUAUUUCUGCUUCCUAGCAGGACAGCUGGCAAAGAGUUUAUCAUUAAAUGUUUGCUGAAUUAAUGA